rnacentral:rRNA from 1 species
UACGAAGGGGGCUAGCGUUGCUCGGAAUCACUGGGCGUAAAGCGCACGUAGGCGGCUUUUUAAGUCAGGGGUGAAAUCCUGGAGCUCAACUCCAGAACUGCCUUUGAUACUGGGAAGCUCGAGUCCGGGAGAGGUGAGUGGAACUGCGAGUGUAGAGGUGAAAUUCGUAGAUAUUCGCAAGAACACCAGUGGCGAAGGCGGCUCACUGGCCCGAUACUGACGCUGAGGCACGAAAGCGUGGGGAGCAAACAGG